UUAAUGACUCUCGGCAACGGAUAUCUCGGCUCUCGCAUCGAUGAAGAACGUAGCGAAAUGCGAUACUUGGUGUGAAUUGCAGAAUCCCGUGAACCAUCGAGUUUUUGAACGCAAGUUGCGCCCGAAGCCAUUUGGUUGAGGGCACGUCUGCCUGGGCGUUUCGU
rnacentral:rRNA from 1 species